AGCGAACGCUGGCGGCAGGCCUAACACAUGCAAGUCGAACGAACUCUUCGGAGUUAGUGGCGGACGGGUGAGUAACACGUGGGAACGUGCCUUUAGGUUCGGAAUAACUCAGGGAAACUUGUGCUAAUACCGAAUGUGCCCUUCGGGGGAAAGAUUUAUCGCCUUUAGAGCGGCCCGCGUCUGAUUAGCUAGUUGGUGAGGUAAAGGCUCACCAAGGCGACGAUCAGUAGCUGGUCAGAGAGGAUGAUCAGCCACAUUGGGACUGAGACACGGCCCGAACUCCUGCGGGAGGCGGGAGUGGGGAAUCUUGCGCAAUGGGCGAAAUCCUGACGCAGCCAUGCCGCGUGAAUGAUGAAGGUCUUAGGAUUGUAAAAUUCUUUCACCGGUGACGAUAAUGACGGUACCCGGAGAAGAAGCCCCGGCUAACUUCGUG
rnacentral:rRNA from 1 species